UCUUAAAUAAUUGUCACUUCCACUGCUGAUAACAUUGUGUCUAUAAAUGGAAUAUGCCAAACCUAAACAAAAAAGCCUGGCUAUCUUUAAUAGAAAAGAAUUAGAAAAUGUUUUGCUUUUGUGUUGUAAGCAAAUAUUGAAAGAAGAAAAUAGUCGAAGACUCAAAUAAUAGUGAUGUGGAUGAAUGCGUAGAGUCUGCUUUGUUAACGGAAUGUUCUUUGUUUGCGACAAAAGCUGAGCAAUUGAUAGCGUGGGGAUGGGAGACUGUCGGAACUGGAUUGCGUGAUUAAAAUAUGUCCUUCAAGCUCCAAUUAGAUGCUUCGAAGAGUUCGGAAGGAGCGAUUUUUCCAAUAAUUUUACCUUUCAGUUUCAAUGCUCGUUAGUUCAUAUUUUACCAGUUGGAAGUUAAAAGUAAACUAAUAGUAUGUACAAAUAAUUUCGUCACUGUUAUGAAAUUAUUGAACUCUUAGUGAGCACAUAAUUCUUAAGCGCUAUAGGAAGUUCAAUAUUUCCCAACUAGUGUUGAGGUUCAAAAUUUUUUGAGUACAUGCUGGGGCUUUGUAGAGACCUGCACUACGUGAAAUUUUGUCCAUUUCAAAAACAUACAUGCAGUAAGUCUUUGUGACAUACAUUUGGUCACAAAAACAACUACUGGACGAGCGCAAAGGGUGACAAGCCGUCAAAAACCUUUAAUGGCGAAAAGUGCUCCGAUAUGUCAAUGGGAAAAUUCGUAUCUGUGCAGACUACUCUACUGGACACUAUUCUAUAGUAGAACCAAACCAGUACCCGUUGCCCACACCGGAAAAAAAUUUGUCAGACAGUCACAACUAUGUAAUAUUCAGUCACUUGGGUUUGUCAGAGACUUAACUGCAAGUAGAAGCCGAUUACAACAGCAAGGAACUGCUCACUAUAAACUCGCAUAAGGGUUCAUACAAAUUUAACCGGCUGACUCCUGACAUAAAAUCUGCUCCUGGUGCGUUUCAAAGAAUUAUGUAUUAAAUAUGCUAUGGCAUCGAAGCUACUAAAGGGUACAUCGAUGACAUCAUGAUCGCAAGUAAGUCUUUGGCUGAGCAGUUUACAUCAGAUUUUGUAAAGAGUACAGGAUUUUAGAUUCAGACUCAAAUUCGAAAAAUUAAAAUUUUAAAAAAGAAUUUAUUUGCCAACAAAGAAGGCACUUGAAACAAAAUAAGUGUAAUCAAAAAUUUUAAGGUUCCAGAAAAUGUAACUCACUCUAAGUCCCGAUCAACGACUACAGCAAGUUUGCCAACAACAUGCGACGUCUUCGAAAACCUCUUAACGAUUUGUUGACAAAGGAUCACAAAUUCAUCUGGACUCUUCAGUGUUAAAAAUCGUUAGAUGACUUCAAGCGAAUUUUAACUUCGGAUUUGCUUUGGACACACUACAAUCCCUACCCAUUCAUGUGGCAGCAGAUUCAUCAUUACACGGGGUUGGAGCAGUCAUCUACCUCACUUGUUCCGAUCGUUAACUCCUGCUGAAUGGAAUUAUUGCCAAAUCGAAAAGGAAGGUCUAGCCCUCAUAUUCGCCGCACAGCGGUUUUACAGACUGCUGUGUGGACGCAAAUUUACUAAACACACCGACCACAAGCUGUUGUUAUCAAAAUUUGGUUCAAAGAAGGGGAAGGGUUCAGAAUUCCAAAGUUACACAGCCAACCGUUUACAACGUUGGGCUCUUAUUUUAUCAGUGUAUGCCAUUGAAAUUAUGUACACCAACACCGAUAAUUUUGAUCACAUAGACGUUUUAUCUAAUUGUUGCUUCAAUUGCUCUUGAGGAGGACAUUCGUAAAGAGGCCGACGAAGCAGUUUCAACUUCACCUCUCACUUUCAAAGAAAGUAGGAAAUGUAAUUUACAACACUCUCUUACAAGUUGGUGAUGGAAAAAUUCUAGUCAGAGCGCAUGCGUACCAACAUAGAAGAAGAUUUGCGGGAAAUUUCUGAAUCAGAAUCCGGACUGCCAUUUGAUAUUUUGCUCGAGGAAUUCAACAUGGGUUCUACACAUGAUACGCUGUUACAACGCCUCCAGGACUACUUCAUAUCCAGGUGAACUAUAUCAUCUUCAAAGAGGAAAUGUUAUUGCUACACUUGAAUGUGGCAACAACAAGCAGCGCCGCGGCCUGAUAUUUUGAAGUCAAAUUUGUUUGCAUACCAAUAUCCAAAUUAACUGAUAUUCUAAGGGUAAUUAAAAGGGUAUGUAAGAAGUAAAAUAACAAAAAUGUGGUCAUUAUAAAUAUUAUUAUUUUUAUGCCAUUUAUUGUUUUUUCUUUGUAUGGUCUUCUUCAAACAAAUAGGAGUAUGAAUGAUUUGUAAUAAAAAAUUUAAAUAUA